rnacentral:lncRNA from 1 species
CCGCGAGAAAACUGACCAUAUUGCAACAAAACAAUCCAUUACAAUUCAGUAUUGAAUUUGUCCCACUUCAUUUGGAAUAUUUUCUAUUGAUUCGGGCUCACCAUAAAGACAUCUUAAAAGACAAAUUUCUUCGAUAUUUAGUUCUCAAGAAUAGCAAAGCAAACCAAAGGAAAAGUAAAAUUUGAGGCGCUAUCAGUGUAACUAUGACAAUUAAGCUUAAUUGGAUGGUAAUCCAUAGCCAUAAAACAACAACAACAACCAACCAGUAUACUCCCACCAGAUGGAUGGUGGGAUCUGGGGAGAGAGGCUUUUUCCGACCCCCGGCUCAUAGAAAUCCAUAGCCAUAAAAGAGACGAGAAAAAGGAAUAAGAAUAAAAAAGAACCUAAUUCACGAGAAUGUAGCCAAGCUCGGAGUGGCUCGUGUCAAACCACAAGUAUUAAUCAACCAAAACAAAAUCCAAGCUCUAUUUUUCAACAUAAAACAUGAAAUCUUUAUUUAUAUAACAAUGACAAUUUUGUUUGUAGAUGUAGGUAUGCUAGAAUCAGCUGAUGCAAAACAAAAAAUAGGCAUCAACCUGAGCUGUUCCAAGCUUGUCCAAUUAAUAUUGGCAACAGGGAAAAAGAGGAGUAUCUACACAACAGAUCACCUCGGCAAAGUUGCCCCUUUUUUAUUUAUUGAUGCAUACAGAUUUGGAAUAUGCCGUAGCUAACAAAAGAAUUAGUGCAAAGAGACGUAGAGACAAUAAUCAAAAGCUAACAGCCAGUAAUAGCUCCUAUCAGAGUAACUAUGACAAAAAAGGCUUCAUUUGGAUGUAAAUCCAUAGCUUUACUUCAAGUCAUCAUCAUUUAGGAACAUUCAAAAGAUCAAAAAUUCAAGCAAGUGCAAUAUAAUCAAUUCAAUUCAAAUAGCGAUAGAUGGGAUCCUAUAUGUAGUGAACAGAGAGGGAUAAGGUGGCGGCUCAAUCAUAGUUGAGUGGUGCUAGGGUUGAUCUUUUAAAGACAGUAGUGCUUCUUUAUAUACUGAGGGAUUCGGGGCCUAGGGUUUUGCCUUUAACGAACGUGCCUCCUCACUACUCAUUUUUGUUUUUGUUUUUUGGGCCUUGAGUUUUCCCGUGGUUUAUACAACUAAUAAGGAACUAGUAUUAGAACUCGCGUAAAAAAAAUAUUAAUCAUAUUAUUUUAAUAAAAUUAUCAACUGUUAUUUUAUAUCUU